AGUGAACGCUGGCGGUAGGCCUAACACAUGCAAGUCGAACGGCAGCACAGUAAGAGCUUGCUCUUACGGGUGGCGAGUGGCGGACGGGUGAGGAAUACAUCGGAAUCUACUUUUUCGUGGGGGAUAACGUAGGGAAACUUACGCUAAUACCGCAUACGACCUACGGGUGAAAGCAGGGGCUCUUCGGACCUUGCGCGAUUGAAUGAGCCGAUGUCGGAUUAGCUAGUUGGCGGGGUAAAGGCCCACCAAGGCGACGAUCCGUAGCUGGUCUGAGAGGAUGAUCAGCCACACUGGAACUGAGACACGGUCCAGACUCCUACGGGAGGCAGCAGUGGGGAAUAUUGGACAAUGGGCGCAAGCCUGAUCCAGCCAUACCGCGUGGGUGAAGAAGGCCUUCGGGUUGUAAAGCCCUGUUGUUGGGAAAGAAAAGCAGCAGGUUAAUACCCCGCUGUUCUGACGGUACCCAAAGAAUAAGCACCGGCUAACUUCGUG
rnacentral:rRNA from 1 species